UACGUAGGGUGCAAGCGUUGUCCGGAAUUAUUGGGCGUAAAGAGCUUGUAGGCGGUUUGUCGCGUUGUUCGUGAAAACUCACAACUCAAUUGUGGGCGUGCGGGCGAUACGGGCAGACUGGAGUACUGCAGGGGAGACUGGAAUUCCUGGUGUAGCGGUGGAAUGCGCAGAUAUCAGGAGGAACACCGAUGGCGAAGGCAGGUCUCUGGGCCACUACUGACGCUGAGAAGCGAAAGCAUGGGGAGCGAACAGG
rnacentral:rRNA from 1 species